rnacentral:rRNA from 1 species
GUCUACGGCCAUGCCACCCUGAACAUGGCCGAUCGCAUCUGAUCUCGGAAGCUAAGCAGGGUUGGGCCUGGUUAGUACUUGGAUGGGAGACCACUUAGGAAGACCAGGUGCUGUAGGCU